AUUGAACGCUGGCGGCAGGCCUAACACAUGCAAGUCGAGCGGAUGAAGGGAGCUUGCUCCUGGAUUCAGCGGCGGACGGGUGAGUAAUGCCUAGGAAUCUGCCUGGUAGUGGGGGAUAACGUCCGGAAACGGGCGCUAAUACCGCAUACGUCCUGAGGGAGAAAGUGGGGGAUCUUCGGACCUCACGCUAUCAGAUGACCCUAGGUCGGAUUAGCUAGUUGGUGGGGUAAAGGCCUACCAAGGCGACGAUCCGUAACUGGUCUGAGAGGAUGAUCAGUCACACUGGAACUGAGACACGGUCCAGACUCCUACGGGAGGCAGCAGUGGGGAAUAUUGGACAAUGGGCGAAAGCCUGAUCCAGCCAUGCCGCGUGUGUGAAGAAGGUCUUCGGAUUGUAAAGCACUUUAAGUUGGGAGGAAGGGCAGUAAGUUAAUACCUUGCUGUUUUGACGUUACCAACAGAAUAAGCACCGGCUAACUUCGUG
rnacentral:rRNA from 1 species